GAAAUAAUAAAGUUUUAUUAAGCUUCUAACUUAAUUAUUAAAUAAUUAAUUUUAUUUUUAUUUCU
rnacentral:tRNA from 1 species